UAAGCACAGGGCAUGACAAAAUGGAUAUUGCGUGCUAUCAGUUAGUGUUCCUAAAAAAGUUGGUGAUGAAUGGAGUGGGAAGCAUGGGCACACAAGGAACUCAUGUCUGUUGGUUCUCACCUUUGUGCCAAAUUCUCUAACUUGCACUCAAAUUGUUUUACUCUUUUGAAUUAAGUAAUGAUUCUAUGUACUUUUCUUCAAUGUUGAGGUGCAUUGUGUUUUCUUUUCAA